UGGCUCAGGACGAACGCUGGCGGCGUGCUUAACACAUGCAAGUCGAACGGUGAAGCCCUUCGGGGUGGAUCAGUGGCGAACGGGUGAGUAACACGUGAGCAACCUGCCCCUGGCUCUGGGAUAACCAUCGGAAACGGUGGCUAAUACUGGAUACGACCCACGAUCGCAUGGUGUGUGGGUGGAAAGUUUUUCGGCUGGGGAUGGGCUCGCGGCCUAUCAGCUUGUUGGUGGGGUGAUGGCCUACCAAGGCGACGACGGGUAGCCGGCCUGAGAGGGCGACCGGCCACACUGGGACUGAGACACGGCCCAGACUCCUACGGGAGGCAGCAGUGGGGAAUAUUGCGCAAUGGGCGAAAGCCUGACGCAGCGACGCCGCGUGAGGGAUGACGGCCUUCGGGUUGUAAACCUCUUUCAGCAGGGAAGAAGCGAAAGUGACGGUACCUGCAGAAGAAGCACCGGCUAACUACGUGCCAGCAGCCGCGGUAAUACGUAGGGUGCAAGCGUUGUCCGGAAUUAUUGGGCGUAAAGAGCUCGUAGGCGGUUUGUCGCGUCUGCUGUGAAAACUCAGGGCUUAACUCUGAGCUUGCAGUGGGUACGGGCAGACUUGAGUGCGGUAGGGGAGACUGGAAUUCCUGGUGUAGCGGUGAAAUGCGCAGAUAUCAGGAGGAACACCGGUGGCGAAGGCGGGUCUCUGGGCCGUAACUGACGCUGAGGAGCGAAAGCAUGGGGAGCGAACAGGAUUAGAUACCCUGGUAGUCCAUGCCGUAAACGUUGGGCGCUAGGUGUGGGGUCCAUUCCACGGAUUCCGUGCCGCAGCUAACGCAUUAAGCGCCCCGCCUGGGGAGUACGGCCGCAAGGCUAAAACUCAAAGGAAUUGACGGGGGCCCGCACAAGCGGCGGAGCAUGCGGAUUAAUUCGAUGCAACGCGAAGAACCUUACCAAGGCUUGACAUGCGCGGUGGAAUCCCAGAGAUGGGGUGUCAUUUAGUUGGUCGCGUACAGGUGGUGCAUGGUUGUCGUCAGCUCGUGUCGUGAGAUGUUGGGUUAAGUCCCGCAACGAGCGCAACCCUCGUUCCAUGUUGCCAGCAAUUCGGUUGGGGACUCAUGGGAGACUGCCGGGGUCAACUCGGAGGAAGGUGGGGAUGACGUCAAAUCAUCAUGCCCCUUAUGUCUUGGGCUUCACGCAUGCUACAAUGGCCAGUACAGAGGGCUGCGAUACCGUGAGGUGGAGCGAAUCCCAAAAAGCUGGUCUCAGUUCGGAUCGGGGUCUGCAACUCGACCCCGUGAAGUCGGAGUCGCUAGUAAUCGCAGAUCAGCAACGCUGCGGUGAAUACGUUCCCGGGCCUUGUACACACCGCCCGUCACGUCAUGAAAGUCGGUAACACCCGAAGCCGGUGGCCCAACC
rnacentral:rRNA from 2 species